rnacentral:rRNA from 1 species
AUGAUGAAUUUUUUCUGUCCAAUGGAGAUAGUUCAGGUGGGGUGUAUAUUCAGCUUUGCAUGUAGAAUAACCACCAGACCGACAGUGUUCGGCACAACGGACCAAAUCGAAAAACAGCCUGCCUGCAAAAAGCACAAAUCAGAAAUUGGAUGCAAAAAAAAAUCCAGAAGACAAAACAUGCUUAUACCACCACAAAAUCAACAGCGUCCUACCACAAUUUUACAGCGGCCACCGACGAACUUAAUUACGAUCCUAAUCAGGCAAAGAGAGCAAAAACCGACAAAUAGAAACAGAGAUCUCCACAAAGGAUCAAAAGCAUACCAACCAGAAUUAAAAUUGAGGAAAUCGUUCAUACAAGAAGAGGAAUCAGCACAUGAUGAACCAAUCAGAGAGCAACCACCAUACGGCACAAAACUAAGAAUUGACGGCCAGCCGGGCGACGGUGAGGAGCUAGACCAGAAGAGAGAAUUGGGCAUGUGUAAAGCACGCGGCCUCCGCUGA